GACGAACGCUGGCGGUGUGCCUAAUACAUGCAAGUCGAACGAAACCCGACUAGGUGCUUGCACUUGGGCAUGGUGAGUGGCGAACGGGUGAGUAACACGUCGGUAACCACCCUCUUAGUGGGGGUUACCUGUCGGAAACUACUGCUAAAACGCCAACGAACAUCGGGUCACAGCAUUCUGUGUUGGAACCUGGCGCAAGCUAUCGCUACGAGAUUGGCCCGCGGUGCAUUAGCUAGUUGGUGGGGUAAAGGCCUACCAAGGAGAUGAUGCGUAGCUGAUCUGAGAGGGUGAUCCGCCACAUUGGGACUGAGACACGGCCCAAACUCCUACGGGAGGCAGCAGUAGGGAAUCUUCAACAAUGGGCGCAAGUCUGACGGAGCAAUGCCGCGUGAGUGAAGAAGGUCUUCGGAUUGUAAAGCUCUGUUGUUAGGGAAGAACAGCACAUAGAGAAUAUGCUACGGGUGUGACGGUAUCUAACCAAAAAGCCACGGCUAACUACGUG
rnacentral:rRNA from 1 species